rnacentral:rRNA from 1 species
UUGAACGCUGGCGGCAUGCUUUACACAUGCAAGUCGAACGGUAACAGGUCUUCGGAUGCUGACGAGCGGCGAACGGGUGAGUAAUGCAUCGGAACGUGCCCAGCCGUGGGGAUAACGCAGCGAAAGCUGUGCUAAUACCGCAUACGAUCUAUGGAUGAAAGCGGGGGAUCGCAAGACCUCGCGCGAUUGGAGCGGCCGAUGUCAGAUUAGCUAGUUGGUGGGGUAAAGGCCCACCAAGGCGACGAUCUGUAGCUGGUCUGAGAGGACGACCAGCCACACUGGAACUGAGACACGGUCCAGACUCCUACGGGAGGCAGCAGUGGGGAAUUUUGGACAAUGGACGCAAGUCUGAUCCAGCCAUUCCGCGUGCAGGAUGAAGGCCCUCGGGUUGUAAACUGCUUUUGUACGGAACGAAAAGGUCUCUCUUAAUACGGGGGGCUCAUGACGGUACCGUAAGAAUAAGCACCGGCUAACUACGUG